CUCUUUGUAAGGGAACCUUUGGAGCUUUAAAGUAGUAGUAGAGUCAAAAGGGAUAGUUCUUGAGCGAUUUACAAGAGAAUACCAAAGAUGGUAAAGGAAGUAAAUAAUCGUAAAGAUAAUCACAACAGAAGCUGAGAUUACAAAGUCCUGGGAUGAAGAAAGAAAGAAGGAUAAAGAAAUAAAGAAAAUUGGAGGGCAAUUGACAUGGAUUACUGUGAUACUGGUGCUACGCUGCUUCUGGUAAUUCUUUUCAACAGAACUCAAUGCUUCUUUUUCACACGCGCCAUGUCAGGAGCAGUUUUUUUAAUUUUCCAUAAAUAUUCAGAUACCCUUUCAAAUAAUACGAUGUUAAUCUCGUUUUAGAAAUCUCAUUUUAGAGUUCGUAAGUAUUCCUUUUUGAAUGUUCUUUCUUUUCAUAAAUCUAAUUUUGAUUUUAUAUAAA